CUCCAAUGCUCCUGUUCAAUGGCCUCCUCCUCCUCUAUCAGCCAAAGACCACUGAACUCCCUGUUAAGUCUGCCUGAUGGGCACAUUCCUCUCUGCUGAAAUAACACAGGAAAACCGGCCUUUUGGAAAUUAUGUCAUUCAGCUCAGCCAGGCCCCGAGCUGAGCCAAUAAUGGCCAUUGCAUGGAUCUGUAAUUUAAGAUGUGGAGAACAGAGAAAAGCAUCCAGCGAGCGGCUGGGGCUGACAGUUGCCGUGGCAACCACGUAUAACACAGUGAGAGAAGGGGUGCCGGCCAUUUUGAAACACCUAAAAUGGACCGGGGAUAGAGCAAAGCAUCCUUGGAAACAUUAGGAGAGCUGCAAUCCUGCUGAAUUGCUUUGUUAAUCGAUUGCUGGAUUGCUCCUGCGCUGGUCUUAUCAACACAGUGACUGUUACCACUAUGCCCAAGACAGAGCCUUUUCUCUCUGCGUCUCUCUGUUCACUUCGAUGGAAAAAUUCCACACCACGUCCGGUGCAGUGUCCAAGAGGGGGGAGGGUGUGAUUGUGUGUGUGUGGAGAAGGAGGGAAAUGUGAUGUGUCGCUGGUUUCAAUAACAGUGGAAACAAUUACUUGA